UACAGAGGUCCCGAGCGUUGUUCGGAUUUAUUGGGCGUAAAGGGUGCGUAGGCGGCGGAGUAAGUUGGGUGUGAAAUCCCGGGGCUCAACCUCGGAAUGGCAUUCAAUACUGCUUCGCUAGAGUACUGGAGAGGAGGCUGGAAUUUACGGUGUAGCAGUGAAAUGCGUAGAUAUCGAGAGGAACACCGGUGGCGAAGGCGGCCUUCUGGACAGUGACUGACGCUGAGACGCGAAAGCGUGGGGAGCAAACAGG
rnacentral:rRNA from 1 species